rnacentral:rRNA from 1 species
AGAGUUUGAUCAUGGCUCAGAAUCAACGCUGGCGGGNNNUUAACACAUGCAAGUCGCACGAGAAAGCAGGAGCAAUCUUGUGAGUAAAGUGGCGUACGGGUGAGUAACACGUGGAUCAUCUACCUUCUAGUGGGGAAUACCUCUGGGAAACCGGAGAUAAUUCCGCAUAAGCUCGUGAGAGGAAAGCCGAAAGGNNCUGGAAGAGGAGUCCGCGGCUGAUUAGCUAGAUGGCGGGGUAACGGCCCACCAUGGCGAAGAUCGGUAGCCGGCCUGAGAGGGCACACGGCCACACUGGCACUGAAACACGGGCCAGACUCCUACGGGAGGCAGCAGUGGGGAAUCUUGCACAAUGGAGGCAACUCUGAUGCAGCGACGCCGCGUGAGCGAUGAAACCCUUCGGGGUGUAAAGCUCUUUCGACGGGAAAGAUUAUGACGGUACCCGGAGAAGAAGCUGCGGCUAACUACGUGCCAGCAGCCGCGGUAAUACGUAGGCAGCGAGCGUUGUUCGGAAUUACUGGGCGUAAAGAGUGUGUAGGCGGUGUUCCAAGUCUGGUGUGAAAUCUCCCGGCUUAACUGGGAGGGUGCGCCGGAAACUGGAAUGCUCGAGGGUGGGAGAGGUAAGCGGAAUUCCUGGUGUAGCGGUGAAAUGCGUAGAUAUCAGGAGGNNNNNCCUGUGGUGUAGACAGCUUACUGGACCACUUCUGACGCUGAGACACGAAAGCGUGGGUAGCAAACAGGAUUAGAUACCCUAGUAGUCC